rnacentral:snRNA from 1 species
UUCCGGAGCACCGACAAAAG